GGGAACGUAGCUCAGUGGAUAGAGCACCGUGUGUGGUGGAAGGUUGAGAGUUCGAUUCUCUCAAGUAGAUUCUUAGCUUAAUGGGAGAGCACCACAAGCGGCGGUCGGUGGUUCGAAUCCAUCCGUUUCUA
rnacentral:tRNA from 2 species